AAGUCGUAACAAGGUUUCCGUAGGUGAACCUGCGGAAGGAUCAUUAACACGUAUCCAAACGUUAAACCCCCCUGUGAACCUUCACCUGUACUCGUACGUCCGUUAGAAAAAGCAGCAAUCCCUGGUAAAUCAUCGCCGAACAGUUUUCGAUUCAGGGAUGUCUGCAAGGAGCGUGCAUGUUGUGCGAGCAAGUGGCCUGGCAUCCCCAAGCAGUUAGUGUCUGAAAGUGUCAUUAACUGUGUAAGGAUGACGCAGUCACAAUCGUUGGAGGCCCACACGGCCGACGACCGGGUCACUGGGCGCAAGCCCCCCUAUAACAAACGCUGCUAAUCGCGGCCGCGAUAAUACGCAGGCGACCAAAAACCGAACAACUGUUAACAAUGAAUAUCUUGGUUCUC
rnacentral:misc_RNA from 1 species